UACGGAGGGUGCAAGCGUUAUCCGGAUUCACUGGGUUUAAAGGGUGCGUAGGAGGGCAGGUAAGUCAGUGGUGAAAUCCCCGUGCUUAACAUGGGAACUGCCGUUGAUACUAUCUGUCUUGAAUGCCGUGGAGAUGAGCGGAAUAUGUCAUGUAGCGGUGAAAUGCUUAGAUAUGACAUAGAACACCGAUUGCGAAGGCAGCUCGUUACACGAACAUUGACUCUGAGGCACGAAAGCGUGGGGAUCAAACAGGAUUAGAAACCCCUGUAGUCC
rnacentral:rRNA from 1 species